CCAGGAUCUUAAAUACUAGACACCUCUAGUACUCUAAUAGAGUGUUAAUGGCAAUGACAACACAGGGUAUGAGAAAUAACCUCAAUUUAAGUUAUUUUGUGGCAUCAGAACACAGUUGUGCCAUUUAUGAUUUCUGUAAAAAUAUCCUUUGUAUCUUCCAGCUCCUGGCACUACUGACUUUGGAUCUGUGGGCAGUAUUUGGAUCAAUAGCAGUAUUGUUGCCGAUUGAAAAUUCAGGGAGACACACACACAUGUACCCCAGGUUAGCUUCAGACUUCUGUGUUCCUGAGGAUUGCUUUAACUUGUGAUCUCCCUGGUCCUGCCUCCCCAGGGCUGGAUGUGUAGGAAUGCACAGCCAUGCUUGGUUAAUGUGUGCUGAGGACCAAUCCCAGGGCUCUAUGCAUGCUGGGUGCUGAGGACUGAACACAUGGACUCACACAUCAUACAUGGGUAAGCUCUCCCAUCUACCACCUAGCUUCAGGUUUGUCAGCCAUCUCUCCAGCAUACACAUUAAGCAUUUGAAAAUAGACACUGCUGA
ensembl:lincRNA